rnacentral:rRNA from 1 species
GACGAACGCUGGCGGCGUGCUUAACACAUGCAAGUCGAACGGAAAGGUCCUGCUUUUGUGGGGUGCUCGAGUGGCGAACGGGUGAGUAACACGUGAGUAACCUGCCCUUGACUUUGGGAUAACUUAAGGAAACUGGGGCUAAUACCGCAUAGGAGUUAUUGCUGCAUGGUGGGGGUUGGAAAGUUUCGGCGGUUGGGGAUGGAUUCGCGGCUUAUCAGCUUGUUGGUGGGGUAGUGGCUUACAAGGCUUUGCCGGGUAGCCGGCCUGAGAGGGCAACCGGCCACAUUGGGACUGAGAUACGGCACAGACUCCUACGGUAGGCAGCGGAGGAGUAGAGAACACAAGGGGCUGAAGCCUGGUGCAACAACGCCACGUGGGGGAUGACGGCCUUCGGGUAGUAUACCACUUUCGCCUUUGACGAGGCGAGAGUGACGGUAACGGGUAAAGAAGCACCGGCUAACUACGUG